rnacentral:rRNA from 1 species
CCUACGGUGUGCUGCAGUGGGGAAUAUUGGACAAUGGGCGAAAGCCUGAUCCAGCCAUGCCGCGUGUGUGAAGAAGGCCUUCGGGUUGUAAAGCACUUUCAGUGGGGAAGAAAGCCUUGGGGCUAAUACCCUCGAGGAAGGACAUCACCCACAGAAGAAGCACCGGCUAACUCCGUGCCAGCAGCCGCGGUAAUACGGAGGGUGCGAGCGUUAAUCGGAAUUACUGGGCGUAAAGCGCGCGUAGGCGGUCUGAUAAGCCGGUUGUGAAAGCCCCGGGCUCAACCUGGGAACGGCAUCCGGAACUGUCAGGCUAGAGUGCAGGAGAGGAAGGUAGAAUUCCCGGUGUAGCGGUGAAAUGCGUAGAGAUCGGGAGGAAUACCAGUGGCGAAGGUGGCCUUCUGGACUGACACUGACGCUGAGGUGCGAAAGCGUGGGUAGCAAACAGGAUUAGAUACCCUUGUAGUC